rnacentral:rRNA from 1 species
GGAGUCUGGGCCGUGUCUCAGUCCCAAUGUGGCCGGCCAACCUCUCAGUCCGGCUACUGAUCGUCGCCUUGGUGGGCCGUUACCCCGCCAACUAGCUAAUCAGACGCGAGGCCAUCUCAGAGCGAUAAAUCUUUGGCAGUCAGAGCCAUGCGACCCAACUGCAUCAUGCGGUAUUAGCACAAAUUUCUCUGUGUUAUUCCCCUCUCCAAGGCAGGUUCCUCACGCGUUACUCACCCGUGCGCCGGUCGCCAUCACAGAUAGCAAGCUACCUGCAUGCUGCCCCUCGACUUGCAUGUGUUAAGCCUGUAGCUAGCGUUCAUC